CCAAAGCGUCAUGGCGGCCAUUUAUCCUCAGAGGAACUCGUUAUUUAAUCGAUAAUCCACGUUUAUUUUAACUUUAUUAAAGCCUUUAUACCGCCGUCCAAUUCUUAAUUCUAAACUUCAAUAAAACAAACAAUUUUAAAAAGUCAGGUCAAGGUGAAGCCCAUAUUAAAGAAAAAAUGAGUUACUUUUAAUAUUUAUAAAAGAAAUAAGAUCCAAAAUUCUUUAAAAUUAGGAUUUGAAAGUAAAAAAUAAUUAAAAUUUAUAAUUGAACCUUACUAAUGGUGUACAUAUCGCCCGUCACCCUCAUCUAAAGACGAGGUAAGUCGUAACACAGUUGAAAUAUUGGAAAAUGUUUCAAGAUAAAAAAAGCUAAAGCAUUUCAUUUACACCGAAAC
rnacentral:rRNA from 1 species